rnacentral:lncRNA from 1 species
UAGCUAAAGCGUUACGUAUGUUUGGUGGAGAUCAUAUUCACUUUGGUACCGUAGUAGGUAAACUUGAAGGAGAAAGAGACAUCACUUUGGGCUUUGUUGAUUUACUACGUGAUGAUUUUAUUGAAAAAGAUUGAAGUCACGAUAUUUAUUUCACUCAAGAUUGGGUCUCUCUACCAUGUGUUAUUCUCGUGGCUUCAGGGGGUAUUCACGUUUGGCAUAUUUCUGCUCUGN